rfam:Ictidomys tridecemlineatus contig007449, whole genome shotgun sequence.
UAGGGUUUAGCUCAGUGGAAGAGCUCUUGCCUAGCUUGCGAAAGCCCCUGGGUUCAAUCCCCAGCACCUUAA